CCUUUAGGACUGGGAUAACUUUGGGAAACUGAGGCUAAUACCGGAUAGGCAAUUUUUCCUGUAAUGGUUUUUUGUUUAAAUGUUUUUUCGCCUAAGGAUGGGUCUGCGGCCGAUUAGGUAGUUGGUUAGGUAAUGGCUUACCAAGCCGUUGAUCGGUACGGGUUGUGAGAGCAAGAGCCCGGAGAUGGAACCUGAGACAAGGUUCCAGGCCCUACGGGGUGCAGCAGGCGCGAAACCUCCGCAAUGUGAGAAAUCGCGACGGGGGGGUCCCAAGUGCCAUUCUUAACGGGAUGGCUUUUCAUUAGUGUAAAGAGCUUUUGGAAUAAGAGCUGGGCAAGACCGGUGCCAGCCGCCGCGGUAACACCGGCAGCUCUAGUGGUAGCAAUUUUUAUUGGGCCUAAAGCGUCCGUAGCCGGUUUAAUAAGUCUCUGGUGAAAUCCUGUAGCUUAACUGUGGGAAUUGCUGGAGAUACUAUUAGACUUGAGACCGGGAGAGGUUGGAGGUACUCCCAGGGUAGAGGUGAAAUUCUGUAAUCCUGGGAGGACCGCCUGUUGCGAAGGCGUCUAACUGGAACGGUUC
rnacentral:rRNA from 1 species